rnacentral:rRNA from 1 species
UACAGAGGGGGCAAGCGUUAUUCGGAUUUAUUGGGCGUAAAGGGCGCGUAGGCGGCUAUGCAAGUCAAGGGUGAAAUCCCUCGGCUCAACCGAGGAACUGCCUCUGAAACUGCAUGGCUUGAGACCGGGAGAGGGUGGUGGAAUUCCCAGUGUAGCGGUGAAAUGCGUAGAUAUUGGGAGGAACACCGGUGGCGAAGGCGGCCACCUGGACCGGUUCUGACGCUGAGGCGCGAAAGUGUGGGGAGCAAACAGG